CUCUGUCAGGCAACUCAGUAUUUAAAUGCCCUCAGAUAUUCAGUAUAUCUGCAGUGGCAGCAUGUCAGCAAACUGGAGCACUAUCAUGAUGCAGCUUUUCAUUAGAUUUGUACUUUUUCCCCUCUGGCUUCAAGGUCACUGCCAGGAUGUUACUCAAUAUCCUAAAAUCAGCUGGAGUUAUUUGUCCAGUUCUGCAGAGAUGAACUGCAGCCAUAACAAAGACUUUACUUAUAUGCAGACAUACUGGUACAUUCAGCGACCAGGAAAGACCAUGACCUUCAUCCUCUCCAAACCUCUUGGGGGGAAGAUUGAAUAUGGAGACGUCUCUGAAGCAAAAUAUUUAGCCAGCAAAAAAACUUUGACAUUGGGACCCUCACAGUGAAACACUUGCAGUUUAAUGACAGCGGGGUGUAUUUUUGUGCCGUCGGCAGACACAGUGAUGCGAGAAGAAUGAGAAGCUGAGCAAAAACUGUUUGCUAAUCAAUUAGAUGUAUAUUGGAAAAAAACAAGCAUUUUAUAUCAUGUCACCAGGUGGCACUAGGGCUCAAGAAAUACUUCACCUUAACAUGCAGCAUGUGAAAUAUAAAGUAGGAUUUCAGAGGGCACAAACAAAGAGUUCACAGCAAACAAAACUACUUUAAAUGUCAACUUUGAAUUUUGUUCAAAGAUAAUCUUUUACUAAGAGAGUAAGAGAUAAUUACUUCUAUGGCCCCUGAGUUGAUAAAUUUCUCUCCAUCUAUCACGUCACAAAAUGUAGAUUCUAAAAAGCUACAGAAGCUUUUUCCCUCAUUUAUAUUGAAUGGAGCUUUGAUUAAAUGGGUUUUUCUUUUAGGCUCUCUCAGACCUCAUAAAUUCACUUGAACUCCUGGCCCCUCCCAAGUUGCUGAAGCCUUUUUCUGUCUGGGAGGGAUUGGGUUUCUUUAUCACUUCGGUUACCAUCACUAUCAGCCACUAUAAGUCACUUUCAUCUCAUGCAAAGCCCAUGUGUAGUCUGAAUCGCUUUUUGAGCAGUUGCUCAAAAUGAUCAUGUUUCUCCUCUUUUGUCUGGCAGGUGUUUGUGAGGGUCUUCGAGUUCAUCAGACUCCCUCUGAUAUUAUCACACAACCUAAUGACAAACCUGGUGACAAAAUUCAUAUUUUCUGCACCCAUAAUAAAACCGACUACUGGGUGAUGCUCUGGUACCAGCAGCCACCUGGAGACACAGCUAUGAAACUCAUUGGGUAUUUAUACUCCAAAGAUGUCACAAUGGAAGAGCCAUAUAAAAAUAAUUUCACCAUCUCUGGAGACCUGACGGGGAAUACAGCAAAGAAGAGUUCUCUCAUAAUUAAACUUGCGGGACAAGAGCAAAAUGCAGUUUACUACUGUGUUGCGAGAGAAGCACAAUGACAAAAAGGCUCUUUGAACCUUACAAAAACUGCACAAUGUGGAAUCAUCAGUGGUUUAAAAAACAGAAAGGGAAUAAACUGAUCACAUACACCUGUUUUGUGGUUGUACUGUGGUUUGAUGUAAUCAUGUUUCCAUUGGCUAACGUAUUUUGUGACUGUUUUUUAUGUUUGUUAUAAGGAAAUCUGUCCAAAAGCAUCAUUUGUUGUGAAAUCUAAUAAAAGGAGAACUUAUAUAGAUAAAUCACAUGAAGCCACUCCUCCUCUGCCUACAUCACACUGGUUUCUUCGUGCAGUGACACCCAGCUCUGCGAGAAAGCACCUGCAGCACAGACUCUGUUGGUUUAAAUGCUGCGAUACAGCCAUCAUUUUAUAGUAGCUCAUGUCAGAACUCUACACAAUGAUCAGAUUUCUUUUUGGCCUUUUCCUCACAGCAGGUAUUUCACUGGGGGUUCGGGUCCAUCAGUCUCCCUCUGCUGCUAUCAGAAAUGCUGGUGAUGAUGUAGAACUAAUCUGCACCCAUGAAAAAACUGACUACAGAGUGAUGCUGUGGUACCAGCAGUCACCUGGAGA